UUUCUUUCUUCUUUUCUCUAUACGUUGGUGUUCUAACCAAUAAUCACCGAUGCGAUGCUCUGUCCGAUCGAUUCAGGAACCAACUAACGGAUGCCAAAGUGCUAUACUUUGAGAGUUCGUUAAACGGAUGCCAAAGUAUUAUACUUUGAGAGUUCGUUAAAUGGAUGCCAAAGUACUAUACUUUGUGAUUUCGGUAAACGGAAUCCAAAGUGUUACACUUUGUGAAAUUCGUUAAGGUUCGAAUCUCGUGACUACCGUUAAGGUUUGAUUUGGGUUUUACACAAAUACGUAUUCCAUUCUGUUAAACUAUAUGUUUAACUACCAAAAAUACUCCCAACUACACUCUCACAAUCAAACAAACUAUUAAAUCAUCAGAAGUUCCAGAAUAAUAAAGUGCAUGCUUAAUUAUCAGAAGAAGUAGAAUCAAGAAGCUUGUUAACUCAAUCUUGCAUGCUUAUUAAUUUGACGCAUAACGAGCUAGGUGGCAGCUUGGGAAAAGAAGCAGGUCAAACGGCUUGAAUACGCGGAGAAAGAGCGAAAUCGGAUGAAAGGUAAGUUAAGCUUACACCCCCUUUUAAAUUACAAUACAUUUACUUGCGAGUAUUGAAUAUGAAUUAUGUUAAGUAAUUGAAAUAUGGUGUUCCGGCACGAUAUAAUGCAAGCCGGAACAAGUACGAAUGGUGAGAAACCAUAAAUUAUGGUAAAAAUGGUAAAAACGGUAAACUAGUCGGGUGAUGACAAAUAAAUAGGAAUUGUGAACAAUGAGCUAUGGGGUGAACCGUAAUGGGUAAAAGUGGUUAAAUAAUGAUCCGGACACGAGUUGACGGAUAAAAUAAAAGAUUUGGAAAGACACUAUUUUAGUAUAAGUCAUAACAGGUCAAAUGGUGUGAUAACGCCAUUUGACAAUAAUAACUAACGCGCUUGCUGAGUUUUGGUGAUUACAGGAAAGUAAUAUAAGUUUCGCGACGCUAUGAUUUGGUAGUUAAUAGCGAAAGGUCUUAUAGAAAGAUUAAUACUAUGACCCGAGCUAGGUACGCAUAAAUGAAAUUCUAGUUAAAUGCGAGAUUUUGGUCAAAUGCCUUCUUGAAUGCCUUGUCAUAAAAGAAGAGUUAAAGUUGACAAAAAUGCCCUUGAUUGACAAAAUCAAGUAAACGACCCUUACUGGUUAUUUAGGAAUUGGCUUUUCGAUCAAAUGAAUCAUUAGGAUAAGUGUCAAAAUGAAAGGCAUGGUCCUAGCGAGUCAAAUGCUUUAAAAUGUGUUUUGCCGUAAAAAGACAAACCGAGAGAUGGAACCGUGAAUUAAAUGGUAUACUGCAUAAAAUCCACCACAAUAAUAGUAGUGGUGGAAGACCAUUUGGUAAGUAACGUGAGAAUAUGAUGCUAGAAAAAAAAAAUAAGGGAGAAUUAUGCUUAAAAGCGCUUAAAUACCCUUAACGGGUCAAAAUAAGCGUGUAAGCAUAAGCGGAUUAAUAAUGCGUGAUAACCCGUGGUCUGAACUUUGUGUGAUAGGAAACAAUUAAAACAUGAUGUCUACAAAAAAAUUCAAGUGUAACAAACAAGUUGGUUUGAUAAUAGUUUGAAUGGGUCAAAAGUCUUUAAAACUCAAUUUUAAUCCGAUAGCUUGAAAUCCAGUAUUUUAUGAGUUUAGAUGUCGGGUGUUAACUCCAUAUGAUGGAUAAUUAAAUUACGAUCACAUAGGAAAAAGAAUCACGUAAAUUGGAUAAGUAGAUAAAAAGUUAUGACACUUUGAAGUUCGUUUUUCGAUUAAAACUAUAGCUGGGCAAAUGCAGCUCCAGAGAAACAACAUUCUGUCGAAUUGGGGGCGUGGCGUCGCGCGACGCCCACCCCUUACAACCGUCGCGUGCGGCGACGCCCUUAAACAUUGCAAUUUGUUUGAAUUUUGUUGUUUUGACUCAUGAAACUUGUUUUAAUAUGUAUUUAACUUAUCAAAACUAACUUUCAUGUUGGUUUUGAAUUUAGGUGAUUGAAUUAUGCACACGGAUGAAGAUCAAGCUCGAUGAAGAACCGAACACAUGAUAAUAAAGCUUUCGCGUUAAACCCUAUUUGAUUUCAUAAUGUGAAUUAUGGAAACACUUAAGAUUGGUAUUAUGAAUAUUUCAAACUUGUGUGAACACUCUUGAUGGAAAAGUUUUUAU
rnacentral:lncRNA from 1 species